GAUCCAUAUGAUCGAUGGAUCGUUAGAUCGCUUGAUGUGUGUUCAGUACCCUCUGACCUGUCUUCCUUCAGGUGGACGUUGGCCUAUCCAAGAAGAUCCAGGUUGGCAGUGAACCUGGACGUUCUGUGGGACUCCGGAGUACGUGGCUCCAGAGAUCAUUCUGAACAGGGGACACAACUUUAGUGUGGACAUCUGGUCCUUAGACAUCCUGGUCUAUGAGCUGCUCACAGGCAGCUCAGUGCUGGGAGAUGUGUUUGGUUAGAGGACAGGGGAUAAGGUUAGGGGUUAGGGUCAGUGUUGGGAGAUGUGUUUUGGUUAGAGGACAGGGGAUAAGGUUAGGGGUUAGGGUCAGUGCUGGGAGAUGUGUUUGGGUUAGGGGACAGGGGAUAAGGUUAGGGGUUAGGGUCAGUGCUGGGAGAUGUGUUUGGGUUAGGGGUUAGGGUCAGUGCUGGGAGAUGUGGGAUGUGUUCUCUGCGUUUACCUUAAAAGGAUAGUGCG
ensembl:lncRNA